rnacentral:lncRNA from 1 species
GACAGCUACUCUUAACCAAAACAACUGAUAUUUACUAGUAUGCGAAAGUAUGGCUCAGUGGUAUUCAAAGUAUUGUAGCACAGCUCAGUGUAUUGUUGCUGAUUACUAAAUUUGAUUUUUUAACACCAUCAAGGCGGCAUCUUUAUAAUUCAUUUUCAACUCGUAUAUACCGUGGCAGUAACAAUUAUGAUUCAAUUACGAUAAAAACAAUACUUCACAUCAUGAAGCCUUACUCGUAGUAUCCAUUUAUUAAUGUAAUAAUUUGUACAUGAUUUGAGGCUGCUAAUAUCCUGUCAUAACAAAUACUUCCAUCGUGGCUGAAUAAUAAUAGUUGGCUACCUACGGUUAAAAUACAAUACACUGGACAACUCGUAGUAGCGGUCUCAUAGAAACUACUGAAAAAGGGAAGCAACUAAACAUAAAACUCUAGAAUUUUUAAUUUUAUGAAGUAUUCCAAAUGUUUGAGAUGAUGUUUGCAUACAAAUAUGUUUAGCUAAAACUAGAAAGCAAACCAACUUCACCAAAUGAAUUGGACAAAAUUAUGUAACGUGAUGAUAAAAAUGAUGAUUUUAUUUUCAUAACUUGCAUCAAAAAGGAUGGUUUCGAGAAAGGGAUUCAAAAAAGUUGGUUUGAGUUUCGUCGGAACAUCUUUGUUGAACAAAGAAAAAGUAGCGGAAAAAAAAAGAGCAGAAUGAGUGAAUGAACGGAUCAUUUGGCAAAUUAUCAUGAAAUCAACAACCAAGGAAAUGUUGUACAUCAAGGUGUUGUAAGAGAGUGGAGAAAUUAAUAAUAAAAGUUAAUAAUUCACAAAAGCUUGAACUUUUAAAAACAUUACGCAGUUAAAGUGCAGAAUUUGUUUUUUUUUCGGUCUCUGAUUCUUUAAGGAGAGGAUAACUUUUGAAAUACGAUUUGGGAAUGAGUCGAAUCAGAGAGCGAGUUGUAUCAUUUCGUACUGCGGAAGAACAAAUAAGUUUGGAAUACACUUUAACGGCUCUAGAAUAAAGCUUCUGCUGAAUUAGGGCAACCAGCCAAUAGUUCCAUAUUCGAACGUCAAAGUUUUUUUGCAACUUGGAUAUAGCUUUCAUGGUAAUUAAGGUACGCUUAAAAUCUCGAUGUUUGACAAAAAAAACGAGUUGGGACGCCAAAACCGAGACCUCAAAAUCGACAUUCAGCCUUAUACGUCCCGUUAGGAGAGACACAGCACGAAAUUGAAGGUCGUACGACGAAUGAGGGCAAUUGAGAAUACCAUUCAAGAGGAUUAUAAGAGACUUUCUCUGAAAGAGGGAAUGCUUGCAAUUUAGUUGAUUCUCUAAUAAAAAAAGCAAAGCCAUGGCAUCGUUCAGCCAGUAACAAAUCGAUUUCGCUAAAACCGUAUUGGUGGUUGGAGACAACUUUAAGCUUCCCGGCUUAAUUCCAGAUAUAUUACAAGGAGGUGAACUUUGCGUUAUACAAAUCAAAUCUUUGUUGCCCAAAUUCUUCAUAAUGUUACCAGAAUAGUAGGUAUUUAUAACGUAUAAAAUUAAAUCGUGAUAAUGAAGCUGACUUGCGGCUUGUAACAUUUGAGACACUAAACGUUCGUUUCGAAUAUACGGGUCAAUUUUCCAGAAAAAUGCAAAAGCAGAAGAGUAUUGACGGUUAACUAGUAGAGCUCGCAUGGAAAAAGAAUAAACAACUUGAAGAUACGCCAAUGAAGGUCGCCAAACAGAAUGCUGCCAAA